rnacentral:rRNA from 1 species
AACGAACGCUGGCGGCAUGCCUAACACAUGCAAGUCGAACGAGACCUUCGGGUCUAGUGGCGCACGGGUGCGUAACGCGUGGGAACCUGCCCUUAGGUUCGGAAUAACUCCCCGAAAGGGGUGCUAAUACCGGAUAAUGUCUUCGGACCAAAGAUUUAUCGCCUUUGGAUGGGCCCGGGUUGGAUUAGCUAGUUGGUAGUGUAAAAGCCUACCAAGGCGACGAUCCAUAGCUGGUCUGAGAGGAUGAUCAGCCACACUGGGACUGAGACACGGCCCAGACUCCUACGGGAGGCAGCAGUGGGGAAUAUUGGACGAGGGACGAUAGCCUGAUCCAGCAAUGCCGCGUGAGUGAUGAAGGCCUUAGGGUUGUAAAUCUCUUUUACCCGGGAUGAUAAUGACAGUACCGGGAGAAUAAGCUCCGGCUAACUCCGUG